GUACAUUCGGUGUUGAGCUCAAAUCCUAAGAUGGCGCCCGCUUGAUUUUUGAAGAACUUCAGAAGCUGCUGCUGCUUCAAAUACUGUGUAAGAUUAAUUUCAAGCACGCGAAGGCUACAACAAGACAGACCAAACUCGCAAAAUUGGAGAAACAGGAUUCAAAAUGCUCAGAAUGACAAUAAAAGUAUCAUAACCUUUGAA